CAUGCUGUUAGCAUUAAAGAAAACCCAAUCAGGUUGGGCGGGAGCACUCCAGCCUCCUCUCAGCUUGGGGCACCUUACUCUCUCCCUAGCCCCUUUCCCCCCACGACGUGUGAGCCCCUCUUUCCCCCACUGCUCUGCUUAGCUCUGCUUCUUCAGGCCUCUCUCUGUCUCCCCUGACGUCCUCUCUCUUCCUCCACGUCUCCCUCUCUCCCUCAGCUUCUACACCUCUGCUAGUCCCCAGGGAGCACUUUGACCUCUGCUCCCCCCUCAAGUGCUGUGGAUCGAGCCUCCCCCCACCUACCAUCCCGCCCAAGGGGCUGCUGAUCGAGAGGCCCCAGCUAGCCAGGUAAGAAAGACCCUUGGCACCCCCUGCCCCUCACUGCCACCUGGAAGCCCCCAGUCCCCUCUAGGGUCCCGAGCAGGGCUGGCCCAGCCCCAUCCCCUCCCAGUCGCCCUUCCCUGGGUCUGCCAUGCCCUACUCUCUGCCCCUCCCCUGCAGCCCAGCAGGGCCUUUGCCCUGCACUUCCUGCCAAGUCAGGGGCCCGUCUGCCCCCCUGGCCCCUGCCCAGGCCCUCAGGAGGCCCUGGCAGACCCUGGGGACUCCGCCAGGCGGGGAUCUAGCCCUCCCCCACCCCCAACGGGGAUCAGGACCUUGGACAGAAAAGAGAUAGUGCCCCUGAAGUCCCGUCUUUGGAACUCUUCCUCAGAAACCCCGCUCCCUGCCACCUGGCCCCCUGCCCCUGAGUCCUGGUGAUUCGGAGCACUAAACAGUGGGGGUGAGGUCGCCGCUGGGUGGCCCUAAACAAGCUACUCCCUUCUCUGGGCCUCGGUUUCCUCCUCUGGAAAGCAGACUGAUCCGUAACUUCCUCUCCGGGCGCCCCGCCGUUCGAUGGAGGUCAAGGGGGCUUUGGGAAGGGGCAGCCCUUGCGGGCCCCUAGCCCCUCUCUCCCCACCUCCACUGCUGCGCUCCCCAUCCCCCACCCCCCCACCCCCGCGGGUGGAAGGAGGUUCAUUGGCCCAGGUCUCCCCAGGCCGCCAUCCCUACAAGUUAAUGAUCACAGGCCUUAUCAGAGCAUUUUGCCAUUUAUAAAUUUAUAAAACAAAAGAGAAAUAAUAAAGCCUGUGGGUAAUUAGUAACCAGGUUAGCUCUGCUGAGGAGAGGGGAGGCAUUGGGCUCGUAUCCGCUCAGUUCUCCGAGAGAUGGGGAGCCAGCCGGCGGAUGGGGGUCCACAAUGGGGAGGCCUCUAAUGGCGCCGGCUGGCGAGGAGGGGGGCCAGAGGCAGUGCCGGAAAGAAGGGGGCUUCGCCCUGAGGCUUUACUUCCCUCAGCUCCGGCGAUUCCCAGUGGCCAGCAGUGUUUUUGGAUGGAAAAAGAGCUCAAGGAGCCCUCUGGUGGACAUUCCGGGGAGAGAAAAAGAGUCAGAGAGACACCAGCUGCUUGUUAGAAAAUCCAUGAUUUUUGUUUUUUAUAAAGUCCCUUUUUCAGGAGUUCAUCUAUGCCUGAAUGUAUCGGGAUAAUAAUGCAGGCUUCCUCUUCCUGCUGUAAGAAGAAUGGACCCUUGGGAGCCAAGGGCAGGGGGUUCAACUUCAGCGAGGAGAUGAGUGGUCUGGUCCAGGCAAGAGGUAAUGACGUUCACACAAAAGCUAUACAAAUGUUCAUAGCGGUAUUGUUCGUAAUGACCAAAAAGUGAAAGCAACCCAAAUGGCCAUUCGCUGAUGAAUAUACAGAUAAAAUGUGGGACAGCCGUACCUUGGAAGACUCAGGCAUAAAAAAGAAUGAAGUUCUGACCCGUGCUACAAUGUGGAGGGACCUUGAAAACGUGAUGCUAAGUGAAAGAAGUCAGACACAAAAGACCACAUGUUGCUUGAUUCUGUUUAUGUGAAAUGCCCGGAAUAGCUAACUCCACAGAGACGGAAAGUAGGUUAGAGGUUGCCGAGGGCUGGGGAAGAGACAGUGGGGAUGAGGAACGACCGCUAGUGGAGAAUGGCACUUGGGAGCGAUGAAAAUUAUUUGGAAUUAUAACAGGGUGUUGGUUUCACAAGUUGGUGUCUAUGCUAAAAACCACUGAAUUCCGUGCACUUUAAAAGAGUGAAUUCUUUUUUUUUUGGAUGUUGGGAUAUUUAAUUUCACGUUUCAACUUGACUGUGCCCGGAUAGCUGCUAAGAGAUUGCUUCUGGGUGUAUCUGUGGUGGGGCGAGGUUCUGGAAGAGAUCCGUGUUUGAAUUGGUGGGCUGCACAAAGCAGACGUUCCUCCUCC